rnacentral:tRNA from 1 species
GGAGAGAUGGCAGAGCGGUCGAAUGCGGCGGUCUCGAAAACCGUUGUCCCGAUAUCUCGGGACCGGGGGUUCGAAUCCCCCUCUCUCCG